rnacentral:rRNA from 1 species
CUCAGACAGCCAGGAUGUUGGCUUAGAAGCAGCCAUCAUUUAAAGAAAGCGUAAUAGCUCACUGGUCGAGUCGGCCUGCGCGGAAGAUGUAACGGGGCUAAACUAUGCACCGAAGCUGCGGCAGCGAACGUAUCACUUAAACUGAUUAAGUGAUAUUCAAUAGUAUCAGAACGAUUGACGGAGCAACGCGACGUCAAUGCGUCCAACAAAGUCGAGGCGGAAACGUCAGACAGUCAGUUUAAGGAUACGUUCGUUGGGUAGGGGAGCGUUCUGUAAGCCUGUGAAGGUGUACUG